UACGUAGGGGGCAAGCGUUGUCCGGAAUUAUUGGGCGUAAAGCGCGUGUAGGCGGUCCGGUAAGUCCGCUGUGAAAGUCGGGGGCUCAACCCUCGGAUGCCGGUGGAUACUGUCGGGCUUGAGUACGGGAGAGGCGAGUGGAAUUCCUGGUGUAGCGGUGAAAUGCGCAGAUAUCAGGAGGAACACCAAUUGCGAAGGCAGCUCGCUGGGACGUUACUGACGCUGAGACGCGAAAGCGUGGGGAGCAAACAGG
rnacentral:rRNA from 1 species